GUUGGAGUUUGUUGGCUGUGCUGGGAAGGAGUCAGUGCUAUGAGGAGCUGCCCAUGAACAAUGACCAAGAAGGAAGCUCUGGCUGCUCCUGACACUGAUGUCUUGGUCACUUCCACUGCACAGUGCAAGGUCCAGAAGAAUGUGGCUCCCAGGACAGGACAUCAUGUUUCAUGGUUAUCACUGCAGAAUGUCUUACAACAUCAAUGAAAGACAGUACAGGGUACAAAACACACCACUGCCAUCCAGUACUACUUGUUCAUGCUGAGAAACAAAGGUCAACACAAUAAAGUGUUACUCAUUCAACAACUGUCUCUAUCAUUAGUUACCUUAAUCCCAGAACCAGUGUUAGUGCUUCAUGCAGACCUGAGGUUAGUAAAAGACUAAAACUUUUAGAAGAUGUAGUGGUCAUUUCUCAAUCAGUGUGAAAUUCUUUUUAGUGUGAACAAGGGCAACAAGGAAAGUUUGCAUACAAUUUGGUUACAAGCUUAGUGUUCUAGUAAAAGUAAGAGGAACAAAGGGUUUUUUUGGACACUUUGUCUUACCUUCAGAUAAACAGAACUGAUAUUUAAUGAUCUAAAAAGAGGGGAAAUAAAAUAAUGAAAUAAUCAUAAGGAGUUCAAGAAAUGUCAGAACAGGAAGGCCUUGAGUUACUCAUUUUCUUUUAUAGAUUUUCUUAUUAGUAACAAAAAAAUGCAGCAUCCUCUUAUAAAACAGGUAUUUUACUGGAAAGUAAAAACUACCUUAAAACCAACUUAGUGAUUAAUAACAUGGGAACAAAAUUAAGAUUGCAAGGCUCAGAUUUUCAGUUUAAAACUUUACAUUCUAAACAUGUAGUGAGCCUUGAAACUUUCUUAUGAAGAAGGUGCACUUAAAAAUGUUUCUACCUUAACCAGCCUACAUGACAGUACCAAUGUUUCCAAGCAGACUUUAUACAGGAGAUAAAAAUACAGGGUCUGGUUGCUAUAUUAAAGCAUCUUGCCAAAUCUUAAUGCUAGGUAUUGGCUUACGAUGCCAGAAAACAGAAUGAAGAUUUAAAGUCAACUCUGCCCACGUUCUCAAACAUGUAUAUUCUUUCCAAUUAAUGGUAACUCUUCAUGAUGUGCAAAGGUCUGAAUUUUUAGUCUUUAUAAGUAAGGAUACUGCAUUUCAAGUUUAAGAUUUUAUGAGAACUGUUUGUUACUUCUUACCCGUCUC